UUACGCCCUCUGAAAAGCAUUGAAAUGUUCACAGGAACUACUCUUUCCAAAAAUGUGUCGUUUUACUCCUAUAACGAUGCUGUUAAAGAUUGACUUUAUUUUCGCCCUUCUUCUCAUAGUGGUCACUGGUAGGUUACAUGUUGCUUUAUAGUUUAUAUUUAUAUUUAUAUUACAACUCCAUAUUUUUGUGUGUGUCAAUAUGUAUAUACAUAGGUACAUAUUUUCAAUAGUGUAUAAAUUUCAUAUCUAUAAACUAAUAUAUAUGUGCUCCUAUGCUUGUCGUUUGAAUGUGUCCAAAUUUCAUCUUAGACCAACUAUAAUUUAAUUUUGACAAUAAUUAUUUUUAAAAGUUUCAGUGCAAGCUGGGCGGAAUACAGAUCUUGAAAUCUCAGGACUCAAGGGGAGACUAUUACCACAACUUAAUACUUGUUUCAGAUCUUGUACUACCGACGAUGAUUGCAAUGAUUGUUGGACAUGUUGUAAAUGUGGAUACAAUAUUCAACAAUAUUAUAAAUUAUGUCUAGUUUAGACUAUAUGCAACUGGGAAAUGGUUGUUCAAUUGCAGCCAAUGAGACAAAUCCAUCUAAUGCAUCCGAUUUUUUGGUUGAUUUUAGUAUUUUUCUUUUUUCUUUUUGAUUUAUUUAUCUUUCAUACUUUGUACGAAUAAUGAAGAAAUUCAAAUGGAUAACUUUUUAUCCAUGAAUAAAGAUGGAUUCAAUUCCAAAAGCUGGUUGCGAUACAAUUUUAGUACUUGUAUAAUUCAUCAUAUAUAAAUUUACCAAAUUUAUUUUUCGAUCUAAUGUAUGUUUG
rnacentral:lncRNA from 1 species